GAGGGAGAUUUUGUCCUAAUUACAUACCCGAGUAAGAACGGAAACACCUGAGGUGUCAUAAACUGACCGGAUAUACAAUUAUUGAAAUGUUAAUCAGAUUUUUUGUGAUAUUUUUUAUCAAGUAAUUAAAAAUUAAAAUUUUAUGUUAAAAGUAAACUUAUUACCAAUAGAAAUAAAACGAAUAUCCGUCUCAUUGCCGUCAAUGUUAAUAUCAACAGUCAUAACAGAAAGUCACUUUUACGAUGUUCCCGAUAAAUUUCUCUAUGUUUCAAUUGCAAAUAUUCCUUCUGGUCGUUACCGGUCACCGUAACUAAAGUACUUUGCAUAUUCGUAUAUUUUCUAUGAUUAUUACCUGGCAAUUCUCAUAAGCAGAAAUUGACAGGUGAAGCGAAAAUCUUUGUUUUUAAAGCAAUGUAGUGUUGAACAAAAAUCGCUCACUGACUUUCCUUUAAACCCUCAUAACUUUGUCAUUUCUUUAUCUUCUUUCACCGUAGACAGACGGUUGAUUUUGAAAUUACGCGUCAAAUCUUUUUCCAAAUCAUAAACACCUAUGCACUGCACUGUAACUAAAAAUACACCUGAACUUUAAUGACCCAGUCACUGAUAACAAUCACGUGACAUAUGCGAUUUAUCUAAUAGCCUGAACUACUCGCGGUAACAGCCCGGUACAUCAGAGGGCCAUGUCAAGUGGGUGAUAAACAUGUCAGUUUCUUUAUAAUUUUAUCAUUUUUCUCUGAUCGAACUGCUAUCCUGGGGAUGCUAAUUUUGUAUCAAGCAGAGUGUUCACUCUCCUUCUAAUAUAACCUCCUUGGUC
rnacentral:lncRNA from 1 species